UACGUAGGGGGCAAGCGUUAUCCGGAUUUACUGGGUGUAAAGGGAGCGUAGACGGCUGCGCAAGUCUGAAGUGAAAGCCCGGGGCUCAACCCCGGGACUGCUUUGGAGACUGUGUAGCUAGAGUGCUGGAGAGGCAAGCGGAAUUCCUAGUGUAGCGGUGAAAUGCGUAGAUAUUAGGAAGAACACCAGUGGCGAAGGCGGCUUGCUGGACAGUAACUGACGUUGAGGCUCGAAAGCGUGGGGAGCAAACAGG
rnacentral:rRNA from 1 species